ACGGAUUGAGAACAAAGGACCUUGAAGGUGUUAGAAAUGUAAAGGUCAGCAAGAUUUCAAUAAGUUUCCGAAAACUCCUCAUUGUGCCUAAAUGUGUGACCUCGAUACAACCUAAAGUAAAUUUUUACCUUUAAGGAUAUUGCUUCUCAGGAGGCACGCCAGCUAAAAUCACGUUUUCGGAUGUAAUGUUAGCUAGUGAUUGUUUCCUAAAUGAAAGCAACGUAAAUGCCAACGGAAAUAGGGUUCGUUGAAGUUUUGUUGUUUGUCCUGAUUCACAGAUUUAAGUAAACUUCAAUAAACAUGGAAGAAAUACGUGUUUGUAUAAUAUAUCCAGCUAAAUCGUUUCUCAGAGUUUAGUAUACAGCAUAAAUAUUAUCAAUUAUCUAAAAGUAAAUAAACCACGAACGAGAGAUUAGUGUGGAGGGAAUGCUUCACGGCGUAGAAAUAAAUCUGCCUAAAAUUGUAUUCACUGUCAUUAGAUUUCUAUUAACAACCAGUAAAAUCCAAUAUAAGUCAGUUUUCUCUUAACAUCCACUUUCAGUUUCAUUUUAAUAAACGGGGAAUUUACCGCGAAAAUAGUUUGAUAUCUUUAAUAUGCCAAAAUGCACAUUCGAAAACCAAAUGACGUAAAUAAAGUCAAAAUAGGCAAAUGAAUACGAAUUUAAUUAACUUAACUUUUCCCAUGUGCAUUUAAGCAUGUUAAAGUAUAUCAAAUACCCAUCAUCACUAUCUUUACUUCAAUUUCAUUUUCGAUUUUGAUUUGGUACUAUCCUUCGGGCCAACAACUCACUGAUUUGGUUCUACGACACUUCUGUGUAUUCACCAAAACAUGGAUACCAUACGGCUGGUCGGGCUUCUGCUGACUGUGAGUUUCCAGUUCUUUACGUGGUGCAAUGUAUCAUGCAAACCAAUGACAUGGACAGUUACUUUAGAACCGUUUGCGCGGCGAAACAGAUCCAGGCGAUUCCUUUUGGUUACUGAGAAUGGCAACGAAUUCAGAUUGUCAUUUACCGGGAGGCAAGAGGAACAGGGCACAAGUACGUACCGCAGAACAUUUUGCAUUUGUGUGUAAUUGCAGAGUGGUGCCCGAGAGGAAGAUAAACUCUCUAAGCCAGUCUUGUUCGACAUAUGGCCAUCACCAUGAAAUAUUUUGUUUCCCAUUGCCCGACCAACCCAGUGCAUUCGGAGAGCAAUCUCGGGUGCCGUUCAAAGUGCAACAAGGCUUUCUAUAUAUUUCAAUUAAAAGUAACUUUAAGAUGUUAAUCAACCCUCACGUCUUCGAAAAUCAAACAUUUAUUCAAUUACUCAUAAAUUCACUCACCCAUUUCUUCCCUUGCUUACUCAUUGACUGACUGAUUGACUGACUGACUGACUGACUGACUGACUGACUGACUGACUGACUGACUGACUGAUUGAAUAAGUGACCGAUCGACCGACUGAGCCAAUGACUCAAUAAAAGAUUCCCGAUUAGUAUCUUCAAAGAGUAGUAAUGAGCUCAAUCAUAUGCAUGCUACUGAAAAUAAUAUUUGCUACCAAGUAGUAAUUAAUGGUAUUUCUGCGCAGUUUUCGACAAACAUCCUUUCCGCUUGCGUAUGACAGACCUCACCCCGUCCCAACCGUUUCACCUCCGGGACUUUGUUUUGCACAGGGUUUCCGCAGUUUCCUGCCGUUUUUUCAACGUUUACGUUGAUCUUUGUACACAGAAUUCAUCUUGCAAAGAAAAAAGACAGGAGAUAACUUUCACUUCAGUUUACGUCCCGCCGGAAUGCCUGAUCACAUCCUGGCUGAGGGUCAGAGAAAGCUCCUGGUGAAGAAUUCAUCAGCUGUGGAUCCCGUUGACAAUACAUACGAGUUCGAGAAGAAAACCAUCAAGCUAAAGUACAUCAUAGAUCACAACAAAACCACUGAGCAUUACGAAAUGCUGAUUUUUGGAACCAGUCACAAGGUAAUGAGAUGCAGCUGUUCUGGUGGCGUGUAUUUAGGCAAGAGGAAGAGCUGGAAACAAGACUGGAAGGCCUGGGUCAAAAUGACAGCUAUCAACUGACCGUUGCAAGGCCGCCAUUCCAAGGGGGGAACGAUAGUUAUUUCACAAAGAAUGAGGGAUAGCGUUUGGAUUAAUUUGAGAAACCAAGAGAUAUUUCUACUAUAAACUGGAAAGUUGACAAAACAUUUUACUAAACAAUUCAUGAACUAAUUAAAAGGGAACAAAGAAAAAAAUGGGGAUUCUUCUUAAGGGAUCAAUGGAAACUGUGU
rnacentral:lncRNA from 1 species